rnacentral:rRNA from 1 species
UGAAUUGUAUUUUCAAAAUGCAUUGCUAACACAACUGCACAUGUUUGUUUAUUGGAAAGAACAUCACAAAGGGUGACAAUCCCAUGUGUCAUGUGUAUGUUUUGUGUACAGCGUGCAUUAUAUGAAUCACAUUCAUUGACAAUUGAAUGCAAAUAGAAUGGUAAAUUUCAUUUAAUCAUAAAUAUGUUGUUGACAACUUAUAGCAAACAAAUACCAUGAGGGAAAUGUGAAAAGGAUUUUGAAAAGAAAAUUAAAAGAGCUUGCAAUUGCUGAACUGAUAAGCAAACAAAACAUACGUGUGUAUGCAAGAUUGUUGUAAUGCUUAGCAUCUUAUGCAAGGCUAUUGCAAUGAUUUUUUGUAUAGUGAUGCUACCUUUUUUUAGAAUUUGGAAUGUCUUUUUUUGAGUGUGAAUGGAAUUUUGUUUGUUAGCAAAGGAAUGCACUUUUAGAUUCAUUGUUUGAUUUGAUUUAAAAAUGUUUGUGACACAUGUCUUUGUUUUAGUUUCAUGCUUCAACCAAGGACAUUGUGUUUGAUCCAUAUCAGCAAUACAUGUUUUGUUUGACCCGUCUUGAAACACGGACCAAGGAGUUUAAUUUAUGUGCAAGAUCAUGAAACUGACAUUUGUAUAUCAAUGAAAAUAUUUUGUUGGGAUUUGUGCACCAACAACUGAUAAGUUGUGUGACGCGACGUUGAGUUUGAGCAUGUUGAUUAAAACCCGAAAGAUGGUGAACUAUGCCUGA